rnacentral:rRNA from 1 species
GUGAGGAAUAUUGGGCAAUGGGCGCAAGCCUGACCCAGCAACGCCGCGUGAAGGAAGACGGUCUUCGGAUUGUAAACUUCUUUUGUCAGGGACGAAUAAUGACGGUACCUGGCGAAUAAGCCACGGCUAACUACGUGCCAGCAGCCGCGGUAAUACGUAGGUGGCAAGCGUUGUCCGGAUUUACUGGGUGUAAAGGGCAAGUAGGCGGAUUUGCAAGUCAGGUGUGAAAGCCCGGGGCUUAACCCCGGGUCUGCAUUUGAAACUGCGGAUCUUGAGUAUCGGAGAGGCAGGCGGAAUUCCCGGUGUAGCGGUGGAAUGCGUAGAUAUCGGGAGGAACACCAGUGGCGAAGGCGGCCUGCUGGACGACAACUGACGCUGAGGAGCGAAAGCGUGGGGAGCAAACAGGAUUAGAAACCCGGGUAGUCC